AUUCUAUAUGAACCUUCGAGCUCAUCGAUCAUCAAUCCAUCUAAAGCCAAGCAAGUUUCAUCCCAACCAAGGCGAAAUCGGAGUUGAAAAGAUCAGCUAUUGCCGACAAUGAAUCUGGAAAGAGCAAGCUUAGCUAGGUUCGAACUAACUCCGGGAUGUUUAUCGCUAGGCGGAAGAUUUUUGCAAGGUUUUAGUGGCAAGCUACAAUUAUUCAACUCUUGCAU